AGCUUUGCGCAGUGGCAGUAUUGUAGCCAAUGAGGUUUAUCCAAGGCGCAAUUAUUGCUAAUUGAAAACUUUUCCCAAUACCCCGCCAUGACGACUUGAAAUAUAGUCGGCAUUGGCAAUUUUUGACAGUCUCUACAGAGA
rnacentral:snRNA from 1 species